UAUGAUAGUAUAUUUUUUAAUAAAUCCAAUCUACAAAGAAAGAGAAAAAAAUAUUUUGAAGUUUUAAAUAGUAAAUUCUUCUUUUAGAUCUUUACAAUUGUAUCUAGAUAUGUAUAUAUUUGGAUUUUGCUUACUUAUUUAUAGUAAAAACCAAUCAUAAAUUAUGUUUGAAGGUUAUUAGGGUUUGUGUGGUUCAUAUGCCAAUAAAAUUGGAACGAUACAGAGAAAAUAGGGUUCUGGAUUUGAAUCGAGUUAUCGCGGAUUGAACAAUCAACACAGUUGUUGUUUGCAGAUGUAGCAUCAUCAAGAUUCAUACAUGAAAAUUAAGAGUCAAGGUGAUAUGUAUAGAUUUGAUUUAAAUGAAAAAAUAGAAUAUAUAUAUUACCAUGACCUUUUUUUUUUUUGGAAUGUGAGAAUCUUGAUGAUGCUGCAUCAGCAAUAAACAGCUAUCAGCGGUCAAACCAGGAUUUUUAGGGUUUCUAAUAUCCAAUAUAUAUAUAAAUUUAUAAAUAAAAGUUCUUUUAAUUUUAUGUGAAGGGGGUUCAGAUGAAUCGCUUUCCGCCCCUCCAACUCUGCCCUAACCCUAAUACGAGCUGCAGGGGUAGGAUUUUCGCGGGAUUCAACAUCCACUAUACAUAUGAAACGAUAUUAUUUGUUCAAUACUUUGCAGUAGUAGUACGAAUGCUCAGUUCUUUAUACCUGGAGAAAGAUGAUGAAUUUUUUUCUCUUUUUAAUUUUAUUUUACUGUAUUUUACAGUACUUUAUCAAUAUUCUUGUCAGUUAUAUUAUAUGUACUUGUUUUAAUUUUGUUUACUAUCUGCUUUAUUUAUUUUUUUACUUUUUUUCAGAAUCUAACAGGUGAAAGUUUAGAUUUUUUUUGUUGCAGAUAGAUGAAAUGAGGACUGCUGUAGAUCUGUUAUUGUUAUUAUUAUUCUCCUGGUCGGUACGAAAAAUAUAUAUUUAUACAAUCAGAUCGCUUAUAAGGUAAGUAAUUAUGCUAAAUUUUACCAUAGUAAGAAUAGUACUCUUUGUUUUUGUUACAAUCUGUUGUUUUACUCCUUGUUUCUGUUACAGUUAAUCUGUUGUUUUGUUAUGACCUACUGUUUCUUGUUCUUAUAUUGCAUAUUUUUCUAGAUUGUUCCUUUUUUCUGUUAUAAGCUGUUGUUUUGUUAUUACCUACUGUUUCUUGUUCUUAUAUUGCAUAUUUUUCUAGACUGUUUUUGUCUUGAUCGAGCCGGGGGUCUGUUGGAAACAGCCUCUCUACCUCAUCUCUGAGGUAGACGUACGAACUUCAUACACUCUGUCCUCUUCGGCAGUGGCGGAACCACAUUGAAUUCAGGGGUUCAUCCGAACCCCUCUUCGUCAGAAAAUUAUACUAUUUUUACGUGAUCAAAAAUAUUUUUAUGUAUAUAUAGUAAAUGUUGAAUCCUCUUCGACUAGUUCGUAUAUUUACUUCUGAACCCCUCAAUAAAAAUUCUGGCUCCGACACUACUCUCCCGACCACACUUUGUGGGAAUACAAUGUUGUUGUUUGUAAGCAUAGUUAUUAUUUGGAGUUUAUGCUUAUAAAAUUAAAGAUUUUGUGUCUGAAUUCACAAACAGUAGCUAGUAUGUUCCUUAUACUUCAAAUCAAGUCAAACAUAAAUUAAAAUAGAGGACAUAACAUGUUAAAAUACAUUAACCAUAGUGUGUUAUAUAUUUUAUACUGUCAGCAUAUAUAACUUAUAUAUUCAUAUAAAUAUUACCAUCAAAAUGUCCUUUUUAAAUCUGAUUUUAUUUUAGGUCAAGGAGUUGGAGAAAAAGCUUCAAGUCUGGAAGAAGAGUGGCUUUGGUUGGAGUGGCUUCGAUGGAAGAUAAGAUGCAGAAAGUGAAAUUGCUAUAAUUCAAAUAUUUGAUGAGGAGAUGCACGGAUGCUUUAGUAUGGAGGUGUGACAGGCAGGCUGGCUUUUGAUGGUUGUAGGCGGGAUGGGAAUAGGCCGAAGAAAUAUUGGAGGGAGGUGAUUAGACAUGACAUGGAGCAGCUACAACUUACGGAGGACAUGACCCUUAAUAAGAAGGUGUGGAGAAUGCGAAUGAAGGUAGAGGAUUAGUAAGUAGAAGUGUGUCCGUAAUAGUAGAAAGGAGUGCACUGUUUAUAUCUAUGCCAAUGAUUUCUUGUAGUUUUUUAUUCGUAGUGUUCUGAUCUCGAACAAAUAAUUUUAUCUCAUUUAUUAUCUAGCAGUUUUAUUUUUAUAUUUUUUAAUUUAUUAUACUAUUAUUUGUCCUGA